GGUAAAAAAGUCUAGUGCUCUUGAGGAACAAGAAACCUCCAAACCCAACAAGAAACCCCAAAGAAACCCACCAAAAAGCAAGGUUACUGAGUCUCUGCUGAAGGAGGAGAGCCUGUCCCCAGGUGGAGAAGAAGCAGGGAGGAGGUGAAUUGGAUUUGUACAUCAUCAGCAAACCUCACACCUGGCAAUGUACGGGGCAAGUUAACAAAGGGCCUCUCUGCAGCUCCGUGCUCCUACAGCCAAUGGACCAGAAAUCUUUUCCAAGUGCUUGGCUUCCUUGGGGCCCCGGUGGUGACAGAGCCUGGCUGCUGAUGAACCCGUGUGGUGACAAGGGAUGCGUGUCCCCUGCAACAUGAAUCACGUAUCCUUUCAGUGUUGUGACAAACAAAGCAAGGAGAGAAAUGCCUUGCAAAAUGCAGUUUGGCUGUGGGAGGAAAUGCCCACCCCAGGCAAUAAGAAAUAUUUCAGUGUAUUAAGAUUAUUCCCUGUUUUUCCCAGAGGUGCAUGUGGGAGUGGAGGGGAUUAAAGCUACAAUAAUCUUCUUUGAGUUUUACAUUUGUAUGACGUUAGAUUGGUCAGCUAAUAAUUUUAGCCUGUUAUUAUUAUUAUUUUUGCAAACACCUAGGAAAAGAUUCUGAGGUUUUCUCGUGGCCUUUCCAAAAUGACCUGCAUGUAUGUGAAACAAGCAGUAACACCAAACAAUUAAUUUAGUGUGAAGUAGCACUUAAACAUUGCAGGCAGUGGUUGUGGAAAUGAACAUUUUUGGGGAUCCCCACUUUUUUUGUGUGGGCAAAGGUUUUUCUCCCUGCAAAAUGCAAGUUAACAAUUCACUGUUCUGGUGAGUCCAAGUCCCACGUGCAAAUUCUUUCACUGCUUUGAUUGCUGAAUGUCUGCAACAUGGAGUGUGCAGAACUUGUAGAGGUCCAUCUGGUAAGGGAAAUAAUCCUGUGUCAGUGCAAAAUAUGUUUCUCUGUGUGUGUAUUUCUCUGUGCUCCUUCUUUGUCAUGAUUCCUCGGUUUAAUUUAAAUACAUGUUUCACUUCUCUCCAUAUUUCAGGUUUAUUGCAGAGUAUGAAAAUCAGGAAGCUUUUUGUUCACUUCAUACAUCUCUUCCAACAAAGCCAGACAUCCGAACCCGGCACAGACUCCAGAGUGAUUAUUGUUACACAUGAUCUAUGGAGCAGAUAAAUUACAGCUUGAUUUUUAUAAGGAAAUUUGAAAAACAGCACACUCUGAACCAGGGCAGAGUGUGGAUUUUCCCAUUUUGCUGCAGGACCCCACUUUGCUGAAUUCCUGGAGGAAGAGAUGCAAAACCCAGCUGGAUGUGAGGGAUCCAUCAGCACGAGCUCCUGAGAUGGGGAGCCCAUUUAAAUCUCCUUUGCUGAGCCUCAGAUGUGACCCAAGCAAAGCAAAAUGGAAAGCAAGGCAGAAAGGCUUUUUGCACAAAAUGGAACAGUAGUCAUGAAUAAUUAAUGGAUUUCUACCUUCUUUGCCAUUUUAACUUGUCUUAAUACUUAUUGCCUUCCACUGCAGAAGUGUGUUUGUAGAUUAACUCAUGCAUGUUUUGCAGCAGCAAGUCUAGAAUUAAGGUGUGUGCUGGAGAUGGAACCUCCCACCAGACCCAGCCUGAUUCAGCAGUCUCCAGGAAAUGCUCUUGCAGAGAUCCAAGCUCUGGGAGCCUCUCAGCAAGGCCAAGAGCUCUUUUUCCCAUUAUCUUCUAAACAUUUCUGCCAGUCCUGUCUAAAUGCAGAAGUUAAUAAUCACAGAAAGGGCUUAAGAUCUGAAUGCAAGGACAUAAAUACAUGUCAUGAGAAGGACACACCUUUGGUUUGUUCCAGCACCACAGGUUCACAGAUUACCAUACAUUUAUUCAUUUUGAGAUGCAAACACUACAGCCAUAAAAUAGUGAGAAUAUGUAGUCCUGGCUUAUCCUGUUGACUGCCCUGUGCUAUCAGUGCAGUCAUACCCUCAGUCAAGUGUGUUUCAUCAGCCAAUCUAAGGGAGGCUCUGUAAAACCCAAGUUUUUUCGCUCAGACUUUCCCUUUGAUGCCCAGCUGCCAGGUCCCAUGUGGGCACUCACCUCAGACACAGUUUAACUCCCAGAAAACCUGCAGGAGCAGCAAAACCAGCUCAAAAUGCAUCCUAUGUAAUAAGCAGGGUUGUUUUUUGGUUGGUUUUUUGCUUUUUUUUUUUAGUGUAUGGUGGAAGAUUAAAGCCAUUCUAAAUGAAAGAAGAGUGUGUAACAGGGUACAAGAUUUCUAAAUAGGUGGCACAUGUCAGCAGGCAUUACAAGAGUGUCUUUAGGUGAGCCUUUGAUAUCGACUGCUGAAUAGUUCAGUCAGAGAGAUGCAACCAAGCAAGAGUUUCACUGCCUUGAUUUGUUUUCCAGCUAAAAUAAAUCUGAAUAGAAUAGACUUAAAUUACCUGUGAUUUUUCUGUCUUUAAAAGGACACAUAAAAGCUCACGAGAUCACUGCGCUCCCUGGGGAAUAAAAAAAAAGGGAAUGGGAAAAAGAAACCAGGAAAACCAUGAAAGAUUCAUUUUAAUGGAAUCCAGGUUUGGCUGUUUCAUAUUUAAUAAUGUUUAAUAUUUCAUUUACUACUGGGGACUCACCUUUUUCAGAAGAAUGUAAGAUUCAAGGCACUAUUGUGCAUUAAGAUUUUAUGUCUGACUGUAGCAAUAUUAUAAGGGUUGGCAUUGGAGCUGCUCAAGCCUUAUGUAGAAAGCCUGGAAGCAACAAGGUUUCUUUCUUUUUUCCUACAGCCAAAAUAGGAUCUGAAGCCCCAGAAAGUGGUGGGGUAGAGCUGUGAAUCCUAGCAACAGGCGGGGAAAGAACUGUACGUUUCCUCACGUCCUCCAAGUGUUGGUGCCUUCUGGUGCAUCAUUGACAGGAAGAGACAGAGACCAUGGAAAGGCCCUCCUUGCUGAUGCACCAAGAAAGGGCACAUUUUUUUCCAGUAGGAUGGGUGAGUUAUUGCAGUUUGGGGGGGUAAACAAGCCAAGCAACCCCCCACAGUUCAUGCUGUUGUUGCUGUUGCACUUUCCUUCGUCUGCCUUUUGGUGCAGGGUUGGUUUUUUUUUUCAAUUUUUCUGUGCUCUUAGUCUUUUUUUAAGCCCUUCUCAGUGAUAAUGUGGGCUUUUCUUUUUAAGUGAAUUAUGAAAAUUUGCACUCAAAAGUGUGAGCAUAGGGUUCUGCCAGAAAAAUCCAUCAUUCUGUGGCCUGCAAUGAAAUCAUGGGUGAUAAAAGCUACCACCCAUGUUCAGCAGAAAGGGAACUGAAACCAGAGCACUUUUCCUGGAAGAAGAGGCUCCUGUUAAAUAUGCAGCAGUCUUGUCUUGCCAAUAUUAAACUAGCUUUUCUUCCUAAAGAGCCUGUCAAUACAGUUUGACCUCUCUCUGUGGAUGUUCUUCAGAGCCUGAAGCACUCAGAUAAUCUGAAACAGUUCCCCAGUUUCUUUCUUUCUCCUGGGAAGGUGGGUUUCAGUCAAAGAAAAAGUCACAGAACCUGACACAAAGAGCAAGGUGGGAUUCCAGACUCCUUGGUCCCAUCACUGUGUUCAGAAAUGCACCAUUUCCCAGCUGAUGCCAGUUUUUCUGGGUUUGCCACCAGUUUUGCUCUUGGAAGAAGCUUGCAGACUCUUAUGAACUUUGCCUGGAUGGAAACGGUGGGAAGAGGGGCGUGGAGAAGAGCUGGGGUUGUGUAACAUGGCCUGCUGCUUCUGUUA